rnacentral:rRNA from 1 species
UGGGGAAUCUUGCGCAAUGGGCGAAAGCCUGACGCAGCAACGCCGCGUGAGGGACGAAGGCUUUCUGAGUUGUAAACCUCUUUCGACAGGAACGAUUGUGACGGUACCUGUAGAAGAAGCACCGGCCAACUAUGUGCCAGCAGCCGCGGUGAUACAUAGGGUGCGAGCGUUAUUCGGAUUUAUUGGGCGUAAAGAGCUCGUAGGCGGUUCAACAAGUCGGGUGUUAAACCCCCAGGCUCAACCUGGGGCCGCCACCCGAAACUGUUGUGACUAGAGUUUGGUAGGGGAUCACGGAAUUCCUGGUGUAGCGGUGGAAUGCGCAGAUAUCAGGAGGAACACCAGUAGCGAAGGCGGUGAUCUGGGCCAAUACUGACGCUGAGGAGCGAAAGCGUGGGGAGCGAACAGG